GUGCUCGCUUUGGCAGCACAUAUACUAAAAUUGGACCAAUACAGAGAAGAUUAUCAUGGCCCCUGCACAACUAUGACAUGCAAAUUCAUGAAGCAUUCCAUAUUUUU